rnacentral:rRNA from 1 species
GAUGAACGCUGGCGGCGUGCCUAAUACAUGCAAGUCGAGCGAACGGACGAGAAGCUUGCUUCUCUGAUGUUAGCGGCGGACGGGUGAGUAACACGUGGAUAACCUACCUAUAAGACUGGGAUAACUUCGGGAAACCGGAGCUAAUACCGGAUAAUAUUUUGAACCGCAUGGUUCAAAAGUGAAAGACGGUCUUGCUGUCACUUAUAGAUGGAUCCGCGCUGCAUUAGCUAGUUGGUAAGGUAACGGCUUACCAAGGCAACGAUGCGUAGCCGACCUGAGAGGGUGAUCGGCCACACUGGAACUGAGACACGGUCCAGACGCCUACGGGAGGCAGCAGUAGGGAAUCUUCCGCAAUGGGCGAAAGCUUGACGGAGCAACGCCGCGUGAGUGAUGAAGGUCUUCGGAUCGUAAAACUCUGUUAUUAGGGAAGAACAAAUGUGUAAGUAACUAUGCACGUCUUGACGGUACCUAAUCAGAAAGCCACGGCUAACUACGUG